rnacentral:rRNA from 1 species
UCAAGCGAACAAGGGCGCAGGGCGAAUGCCUUGGCACUGGGAGCCGAUGAAAGACGUGAUAAGCUGCGAUAAGCUUCGGGGAGCUGCAAAUAAGCAUUGAUCCGGAGAUUUCUGAAUGAGGAAACUCACCUGGGUUCAUACUCAGGUACGUUAUACUGAACUUCAAAAUAGGUAUAUCGAGGGAACCGCCUGAACUGAAACAUCUAAGUAGGGCGAGGAAGAGACAUCAAACGAGAUUCCGUAAGUAGUGGCGAGCGAACGCGGAAGAGGGCAAACCGAGAGUAGAAAUACUUUCGGGGUACGGACUGCUUUUAAGACUCAAUCUGUUAACCGAACGGCAUGGGAAGGCCGGUCAGAGAGUGUGAGAACCACGUAGGUGAAAACGGAGAGAGCUGCGCAGGAUCCAGAGUACGGCCAGACACGUGAAACCUGGUCGGAAUACGGGGGGACCACCCUCCAACCCUAAAUACUACCCAGUGACCGAUAGCGUAUAGUACUGUGAAGGAAAGGUGAAAAGCACCCCGGGAGGGGAGUGAAAAAGAACCUGAAACCCUGUGCCUACAAGCACCUAGAGCGCGUCAAUGCGUGAUAGGGUACUUUUUGUAGAACGGUCCGGCGAGCGAUUGUAUGCAGCAAGGUUAAGGACUUAAGGUCUGGAGCCGAAGCGAAAGCGAGUUUGAAAAGGGCGUUAAGUUGCAUAUAAUGGGCCCGAAACCGGGUGACCUACCCAUGGUCAGGUUGAAGUGGAAGUAAAAUUCCAUGGAGGACCGAACCGACCUCCGUUGAAAAGGCGGCGGAUGAACUGUGGGUAGCGGAGAAAUUCCAAUCGAACCCGGAGAUAGCUGGUUCUCCCCGAAAUAGUUUUAGGACUAGCCUCAAGUUAGAUACCUGGAGGUAAAGCACUGAAUAGCCUAGCGGCCGAGAGGUUAGCGAAGCUUAUCAAACUCAGAAUGCCAGAGUAUUGAUGCUUGGGAGUCAGACAGUGUCAGAUAAAUGUCAUUGUCAAAAGGGAAACAGCCCAGAUCUACAGCUAAGGUCCCAAAGUCAGGUUAAGUGGAAAACGAUGUGAAGAUACGCAGACAACCAGGAUGUUGGCUCAGAAGCAGCCACUCAUUCAAAGAGUGCGUAAUAGCUCACUGGUCGAGCGUCUUUGCGCGGAGAAUUUAACGGGGCUAAACCUGACACCGAAGCUUAGGCAAUACAGUAAUGUAUUGGGUAGGGGAGCGUUGUAUACGCGGAGAAACAGUAGCGCAAGCGGCUGUGGAGUGUAUAGAAGUGAGAAUGCCGGAAUGAGUAGCGCGAAUGCAGUGAGAAUCUGCAUGGCCGAAAGCCUCAGGUUUCUGGAGGAAGGUUCGUCCGCUCCAGGUUAGUCGGGAGCUAAGGUGAGGCCGGAAGGCGUAGCCGAUGCACAGACGGUAGAGAUUCCGUCACCACCAAAAGAGUUAAGCACAGGGACACAUAUGAAGUCUCAGAGCCGGGUGUUGGUUCCGGUAGAGAUCGAGGGAAAUUAGUACCGAAGUCUGAGAUGGAAGAUGGCGAGAAAAGCUGUGUGUAUUUCUGAGGUGCCCGUACCGCAAACCGACACAGGUAGGUAGGAAGAAGAUUCUAAGGCCAACGGGAGAAGGGUUGUUAAGGAACUCGGCAAAUUGACCCCGUAACUUCGGGAGAAGGGGUGCUCCAGAGAUGGAGCCGCAGAGAAUCGGCCCAAGCAACUGUUUACCAAAAACACAGGUUUGUGCUAAAUCGAAAGAUGACGUAUACGAGCUGACGCCUGCCCGGUGCUGGAAGGUUAAGAGGAGAUGUGCAAGCAUUGAAUCGAAGCCCCAGUGAACGGCGGCCGUAACUAUAACGGUCCUAAGGUAGCGAAAUUCCUUGUCAGGUAAGUUCUGACCCGCAUGAAAGGCGUAAUGAUUUGGGCACUGUCUCAACAGCCCGCCCGGCGAAAUUGUAGUACCGGUGAAGAUGCCGGUUACCCGCGACAAGACGGAAAGACCCCAUGGAGCUUUACUGUAGCCUAAUAUUGGGUUUCGAUGUUGCAUGCACAGGAUAGAUGGGACACUGGGAAACAGGUGCUUUGGCGCUUGUGGAGUGGCCGUUGGGAUACCAUCCUUGCGAUAUUGGAAUUCUAACCUGCGGCUCUGAAUCGAGUCGGGGGACAUUGUUAGGUGGGCAGUUUGACUGGGGCGGUCGCCUCCUAAAGAGUAACGGAGGCGUUCAAAGGUUCGCUCAGCUUGAACGGAAAUCAAGCAAAAGAGUGCAAACGCAGAAGCGAGCCUAACUGCGAGACUGACGGGUCGAGCAGUAACGAAAGUUGGAGUUAGUGAUCCGGUGGUAUGUGAGUGG